CCCCAGGUUGCCAGUUGGCAGAAAACACUGCAUAUUUUAAUUAUGGGAUCCAGCAAACGAACUAGAAUCUCACUUUAAUUCAAUGUGAUAAUAUGGUAUACAAAACAAUCAAACCAGAUAAUAAAAAGCAGUCAAACAUUGAUCAUUACAGAGCAUCAAAAGUCUUUAAUAAUUUGUAUUUUUAAAAAACUCAACAGAGAAAGAGUAACAUCAUGUGUAGGGUUUGAAGAUACAGAAAAAAAAAAGAAAAAAAAAAACACAACAACACCCAACAAACCAAGAAAAUUCCUGAGGCCUGUCAAUAUAGGAGCUUGAUUAUACACUCAGAGAAACGGUACAAAAGCUGACACUGGUGCAGUUCCUUUUUAAAAAGUACUAAUAUGUACACUUAAGGUAUUCAUUUGUAACUUUAAGGUACUAAUAUGCACUGUUUAGGGGUAAAUAAGGUACAAAGGUGUACCUUUUGAUAAGGUAUCGUCCAGGGUUGGGGAGUUACUAGUUACAUGUAACAGAAUUAUGUAAUUUAAUUACAAAAUAAAUGUAACUGUAAUCUUACUGAUUACAUUUACUUAUGAAAAUGUUAACGAUUACAAAGGGGGUUACAUCUGAAUAUUUUCACACACAAUCACACACACACACACACACACACACACACACACACACACACACACACACACACACACACACACACACACACACACACACACACACACACACACACACAGACACACACACACACACAGACAGAGAUUUGACUGAUUUCUUUCCCAAAUUGCAUUGACUGCUCUAAAAUAUGAGACACCAAUUUGGUUUUAUGUAUGUGCUUUAUUUUUUAAGAUUAAAUUUUUUUCCAAAACAUUAUUAUAAUCUUAAUUCAAGUGAUCAGGGAUUUCUAGUGUGAGGUUAACCCUGCCUGAUUUACAUGUUUGAAAAUGAUUACCAGUUAAAAACAUUCAUUAGAGAUUUAGAAAAGUUAUCAAAAAGUAAUCAAAUGUAAUCAGUAACUCCAAUAAAGUAACUGAAAUAGUUACACUACUUAUUAAAUAGGGUAACUUGUAAUCUGUAACCUGUUACAUUGCCAAAGUAACCUUCCCAACACUGGUACCGUCCCAGUGACAGAUUUUGUACCUUUUUUUUUCUGAGAGUGUAAGGACUUGAGAACAUUCAACAUAAUUACUGUAUACAGUAAUCUGAUCAAACAGAUCGACAGCAUUCUGUUAUUUCACAGAAAUCAAUAUAAAACAGAACAUACAGCUUAGGAUAAGAGUGCACUGAGUAGACCAAAUAACACAGACAGUUAUGAUUCCUCUGUACACACUUUUAUAAACAUGUUUAAAGGCUCAUGACCUGCACUGGAUGUGAAACACAACUGCUACACAGUCCAGCUGUGCGGCUGAGAAGCUCAUUCUGACUAUUCACCGUUGUCAUCAUCUUUUGUGGCAGAAUCAGCUGUUUUAUAGUCUCUCUGGUGUCGACAAGGGAUUGUGGGAUUGUAUUUCCUAUAAAUGAUUAACAUUAUGAUGAUGAAGACAAUUAUGGCGAACACAAUGACAGUGACCUCAGAUGUUGUCAGCUUUGCUUCACCUUUGAUGAGAAAAUAAAGAAAAAAAAAUUAUAUCUCAAAGUGAAUUCAGACUUUGUUAGGACAUGGUUAAAACUACAAAAACAACACCAGACUCAUAUAUUCAUUGCAUUUUGUAUAUUUCUGCUAGAUAUUAGAUAGAAUAUAUCUAUUAUUAUCAUGAUCUAUGUACUUUGACUCCUGAAAUCACUUAUGAUUUAUGACGUGGAGUUACAAAUGUGCUGACAAGAGGAUGAAGUGCAGCUUCUCAUGUUCCUGUAAGUAAUCUGGACCAGUAAGCAAUAAUAAAAUGAUAGAAUAUGAAUAUGAUAAGCAAUACCUUUCUUAACAGUAUCUGUAUUGGUGGGUUUAUCUCCAGACUCUGUAAACAGAUUUUUAAAGAUCAUAAGGUCAACAAAACAAAACAAAACAAUUUGAUGUGUUAGAAAAACUAGCACCAUGUAGCCUACCUGUUACGUUAACGAUGAAUUCUGUUUCCUUUGUCUCACAAUUUGUUUGGGAAAAUAAUGUAAAUUUUGCUGUGAUGUUUUUACUUGAUUUGUAAACAUAUGUGGCUUUGAUCUUUUGUUCACAGGUCUUGUUAGGAAACUCCUUUUUGUAGAUUACUGUGGUGUUUUCAUCCUUAAACAUGUACGAUAUAAUGCAGCACUGAUCAGCUUCUUUAGUGCAGUUCAGUGAGAUGCUGCAAGUGAGAGUUAGUUCUUCAUGCACAGUACCAGUCACAUCGACACAGUUU
ensembl:lncRNA